rnacentral:rRNA from 1 species
CCCAGCUCAUCAUGCUAGAGCACUUUUUCAAUGUGUUCCCCAACGACAAGGCGACGACGCAUUUGUAUGUCAAUCCCUAUCAACUUUCAAUGCCAUUUACUGCGCCUACCAUGGUGACCACGGGUAACUGGGAAUCAGGGUUCAAUUCCAUACAGGGACCCUGACAAACUGCUACCACAUGCAAGGAAGGCAGCAGGCUCGCAAAUGACCCACUCCCGACGCGGGGAGGUAGUGACG